rnacentral:misc_RNA from 1 species
AACUUUUAGCAACGGAUCUCUUGGUUCUGGCACCGAUGAAGAACCCAGCGAAAUGCGAUAAGUAAUGUGAAUUGCAGAAUUAAGUGAAUCAUCGAAUCUUUGAACGCACAUUGCGCCCCCUGGUAUUCCGGGGGGCACACCUGUUCGAGCGCCAUUACAAACCUCAAGCCUUGCUUGGUGAUGGGCCCCGCCCGCGCGGCGGGCCCGAAACUCGUGGGCGCCCCAGAUCGGACUCCAAGCGUAGCAAAACCCUCGCUUGUGGAUGACCGAUAGGAUUCCGCCCCGGACCCCUAAAUGUAUCAAUGGUUGGCCUCGGAUCAGGUGGGGAUACCCGCUGAACUUAAGCAUAUCAAUAAGCGGAGGCU